UGGCUCAGAGGUUAAAGCAUCUGCCUGCAAUGCAGAAGACCUGGGUUUGAUCCCUG
rfam:TPA: Bos taurus chromosome 14, whole genome shotgun sequence.